UACGGAGGGGGCAAGCGUUGUUCGGAAUUACUGGGCGUAAAGCGCGCGCAGGCGGAUGUGGCAAGUCGGGAGUGAAAUCCCGGGGCUCAACCCCGUGGACUGCUCCCGAUACUGCUCGUCUAGGGACCGGUAGAGGCCGGUGGAAUUCCCGGUGUAGCGGUGGAAUGCGUAGAGAUCGGGAGGAACACCUGUGGCGAAGGCGGCCGGCUGGGCCGGAUCCGACGCUGAGGCGCGAAAGCGUGGGGAGCGAACAGG
rnacentral:rRNA from 1 species